rnacentral:rRNA from 1 species
UACGAAGGGGGCUAGCGUUGUUCGGAUUUACUGGGCGUAAAGCGCACGUAGGCGGAUCGAUCAGUCAGGGGUGAAAUCCCAGGGCUCAACCCUGGAACUGCCUUUGAUACUGAAGAUCUUGAGUUCGGGAGAGGUGAGUGGAACUGCGAGUGUAGAGGUGAAAUUCGUAGAUAUUCGCAAGAACACCAGUGGCGAAGGCGGCUCACUGGCCCGAUACUGACGCUGAGGCACGAAAGCGUGGGGAGCAAACAGG